GGAAGUCGUCGUGGCCUAAAGCAUAAGAGGUCCGGUGCAUUCGUAUCCAGCGAUGCACCGGUGUUCGAAUCCCGCAGCGGUACCGAUUUUU
rnacentral:misc_RNA from 1 species